rnacentral:rRNA from 1 species
AUGGCUGACAAGUCUUCCCCGAUGAUGACAAUCCCCACCGACGCUGAGCUAAUCCAGGCGCAAGCUGACCUUUGGCGCCACUGCCUCAGCUACCUCACACCAAUGGCGCUCAGGUGCGCCAUCCAGCUCGGCAUCCCUACCGCGAUCCACCGCCUCGGCGGUGCCGCGUCGUUGCCUGACCUAGUCACCGCGCUGUCCCUCCCACCAUCAAAGGCGCCGUUCCUCAGCCGUCUCUUGCAGCUGCUGUCCACGACGGGGGUGCUGGCAUCAAACGAGGCUAGGAUCUACAGCCUCGUCCCGCUGUCCUACCUUCUCGUGGAUGGUAUACUCGUUGAUGGAGAUGCUAGCCAGGCAGCUCUUGUGCUCUGCUUGACCUCGCGGUAUCACAUGGAGGCGGCUAUGGGGUUGGCCGACUGGUUCAAAAAGGAUAUCGCUCAACCCGUGCCAUCGCCGUUCGAGGACGUGCAUGGCGCGACACUCUUCGAGGAGAGUAUGACCGUCCUCGACCCUGAGAGUGACAAGUUAUUCAAUGAAGCUUUAGCUGCCCAUGACCAUAUGGGAAUCGGCACAAUAUUGCGGGAAUGCCAUGGCUUAUUCAAUGGCUUGCAGUCGCUCACCGACUGUUGUGGUGGUGAUGGAACGACAGCUAGGGCCAUUGUUAAGGCCUUCCCUCACAUAAAGUGCAACGUGUUGGACCUUCCAAGGGUGAUCAAUAAAGCUCCAAGCGAUGGCCUCGUUAACUAUAUCGCUGGUGACAUGUUCCAUUCCAUCCCACCUGCUCAAGUUGUAAUGCUCAAGCUUGUUCUACACUUCUGGAGCGACGAGGAUUGCAUCAAUAUCCUAACUCAAUGCAAGAAGGCCAUUCCUUCUCGAGAAGUGGGAGGAAAAGUUAUUAUCAUGGACAUUGUGGUUGACUCUUCUUCAGGACCGUUAUUCGAAACCCAAAUGCUGAUGGAUAUGGUAAUGAUGGUAUGUACCAGGGGACGACAACGUGAUGAAAAUGACUGGAGUGCCAUCUUUAUGAAGGCAGGGUUUAGUGACUACAAAAUUGUCAAGAAGCUUGGAGCUCGAGGUGUCAUCGAGGUCUAUCCAUAA